CUUCAGUUCAAUUUACAUCCAAAAGUGAUAUCCUUAAAAUAUAUGACUGGGUAAAAUAAAACAGAGUUAGUUUAGGAAUAUAAAAGAUAUUUAAUUACCCUGAUAAUUGAUCAUUCUUCGAUAAAGUCAACGAUUGACAGACAAGCAAUGAGGACUAGCCGAUUUUUUCUGCAGGAACAUGUUUCGCUGUGUGCACAGGUUGAUUAUAGCUCAUCCAGAUUUUGGUGGAGUGACGGAGCUGGCAAGCAAAACUUCCGGCUCUACCUAAGCAACACGAGUCGCAACGAACAGCGACGAAAAUUUUCCUCCUGCCAUGCCACCUCGAUGCCACCAGCAGCAACAACAUGGCGAACACUAAGUUUAUCCGGUACUGGACUGGAAGCUGUGAAGUACUGUGGUACUGUGCUGGAAGUCUUGACUGGACCAUCGGAGAAGUAACAGAUUCUGUGACCGAUUGACAUUAUGGAAUGCUUUUACCACAGAAUGCUCCUCGGAAUAGGCCUUUUCAUGUGACACUGCCGAGACUGCACUUGUUUACAACCGCUGAACAGGCCUGCAAGUCCGAAGCUGUCACUUUCAUAGAAGAACUGUCAAUUGACGAUAAAAUCAGCUGUUUUUAAACGUCUCGUGAAAAGGCCCAUACUCUCAACAUGUAAUACACACAAUAAAAAUUUAAUAAAUACAGACCGUUAAUUAAACGAGAUUCUUAGCACAGAGAACAGACAUGGAGGCUCGAACAAAAUUUCUUGCAAAACAUGUGUAAACAAACACACCGAACCUCAACGCCAUCGUCGUCGACAUUGCAACUCACAAUCUCAUUUUGACAACAUGAUGGCGCUGGUAUGCUCUUGCGUGCAUAAC